rnacentral:rRNA from 1 species
UACGAAGGGGGCUAGCGUUGCUCGGAAUCACUGGGCGUAAAGGGUGCGUAGGCGGCGCGGUAAGUCGGGUGUGAAAUCUUGGAGCUUAACUCCGAAACUGCAUUCGAUACUGCCGUGCUUGAGGACUGGAGAGGAGACUGGAAUUUACGGUGUAGCGGUGAAAUGCGUAGAUAUCGUAAGGAAGACCAGUGGCGAAGGCGGGUCUCUGGACAGUUCCUGACACUGAGGCACGAAGGCCAGGGGAGCAAACGGG